GAUGGAUGUAAAUAAUCAGAAGUCUUUCAAGCUGAAUAGUUGGUAGGCUGUCUCAUAGUCCCAUCAUUUGUACAUCCAUCCUUUUGCCAUGUCAUGAAAAACAUUGUUUUGGCUGAAAUAUAGUCUCUCAAGCCUAGGUUUCAAUGGAAAAUGACGUAAAACCUUAGCAGAAUUUUUUUGUUCACCUUUUUUUGAAGUUCUCAUAUUAUCCUUUUAAUUUUUUUCAUGUUUUGUCCAUCUAGAGGCACCACAUAUGGCACAUGAAGAUGCUUCUACAUACUCCUUCCAAUACAACAUGCAGUCAUUGGGACAAGCAUCAAUUCUUCUAUAAUCGAUCCUAGAUUAGCAAUGAUCUUUCUAGUCUCGU
rnacentral:lncRNA from 1 species